CAGCAGCCACGGUAAUACGAAGGGUGCAAGCGUUAAUCGGAAUUACUGGGCGUAAAGCGUGCGUAGGCGGUGAGUUAAGUCUGCUGUGAAAUCCCCGGGCUCAACCUGGGAAUGGCAGUGGAUACUGGCUCGCUAGAGUGUGUCAGAGGAUGGUGGAAUUCCCGGUGUAGCGGUGAAAUGCGUAGAGAUCGGGAGGAACAUCAGUGGCGAAGGCGGCCAUCUGGGACAACACUGACGCUGAGGCACGAAAGCGUGGGGAGCAAACAGGAUUAGAUACCCGCGUAGUCCCUGUCUCUUAUAC
rnacentral:rRNA from 1 species